GAUGAAGAACGUAGCGAAAUGCGAUAAGUAGUGUGAAUUGCAGAAUUCAGUGAAUCAUCGAAUCUUUGAACGCACAUUGCGCCUCCUGGUAUUCCGGGAGGCAUGCCUGUUCGAGCGUCAUUAAAAUCACUCAAGCUUAGGUUUACCUAUUGCUUGGUCUUGGAGAUGGAAGCCAAUUUAUUGGAAUCCUCUUCGAAAUUCAAUGGCGAAGACCCUUGCUCUCCCAAGUGUAGUAAUAACUUAUGUCACUGAAGGAAGCGAGAAAUCUUCUGCCGUAACCCCCAUAUUUUCUAUGAUUGACCUCGGAUCAGGUAGGGAUACCCGCUGAACUUAAGCAUAUCAAUAAGCGGAGGGA
rnacentral:misc_RNA from 1 species